CCUUUCUCUUCCUACCCACCUCCCUCCGCGGGCCAGGGUGGAGGACCGAGGAGGGGUGUGAAGAAGGAGCAAAAUAAAGGUGUUCUAAGAAUCUUGGUGUCAAGCUGUCUUCGAUCUGAAUUGCUGGAAGUACACAAGAGGCUGGAAAGCUUAAAACCACUUUCAUCCAAUUCUCUUAAGGACCUCUGUUUUAUGAAUCACAUGCAUGCAUCUGGACUUGAAUUCAGGACUGAGUGGAGUGGAGAACGAGGGUACACCGUACAUGGCAUCUUUUUUUCUGCUGGGACCAUAGCCUGUGUAAAUGGCCUGGAAGCCCGCUGACUCCUGUUCCUGGAGACACAG